rnacentral:rRNA from 1 species
GACGAACGCUGGCGGCGUGCUUAACACAUGCAAGUCGAACGGAAAGGCCUUGCUUUUGUGGGGUGCUCGAGUGGCGAACGGGUGAGUAACACGUGAGUAACCUGCCCUUGACUUUGGGAUAACUUCAGGAAACUGGGGCUAAUACCGGAUAGGAGCUCCUGCUGCAUGGUGGGGGUUGGAAAGUUUAGGCGGUUGGGGCUGGACUCGCGGCUUAUCAGCUUGUUGGUGGGGUAGUGGCUUACCAAGGCUUUGACGGGUAGCCGGCCUGAGAGGGUGACCGGGCACAUUGGGACUGAGGUACGGCCCAGACUCCUACGGGAGGCAGCAGGGGGGAAUAUUGCACAAUGGGCGGAAGCCUGAUGCAGCAACGUCGCGUGCGGGAUGACGGCCUGCGGGUUGUAAACAGCUUUCGCCUGUGACGAAGCGUGAGUGACGGUAAUGGGUAAAGAAGCACCGGCUAACUACGUG